GAUGAACGCUGGCGGCGUGCUUAACACAUGCAAGUCGAACGAAGUGGCGGAUGGGCGAGUAACACGUGAGGAACCUGCCUUCCACAGGGGAAUAACACUGGGAAACCAGUGCUAAUACCGCAUAGUGAAAGCUGGUCUCGCGCCUGAUUAGCUAGUAGUAGAGGUAACGGCCCACCUAGGUGAUGAUCAGUAGCCGUACUGAAGGUUGAUCGGCCGAGUUGGGACUGAGACACGGCCCAGACUCCUACGGGAGUCAGCAGUGGGGAAUAUUGUGCAAUGGCGCAAGCAUGACCCAGCAACGCCGCGUGAAGGAAGACGGUCUUCGGAUUGUAAACUUCUUUAGACAUGGACGCGGUACCUGUAGAAUAAGCCACGGCUAACUACGUGCCAGCAGCCGCGGUAAUUC
rnacentral:rRNA from 1 species